rnacentral:lncRNA from 1 species
CACAAUUCACAAACACAAAUAAUAGAAAGACUUCCAGAAGUUUUAGAGAGAGAGAAGAGAGAUACGGUGGAAGGACCACCUUUUUUGGUGGUGAACCCGGCUGCGCACGAUAGCGCCUCUCACUUCCGACGCAUAAACGACUGCCAUGGUGGUGGUGAGUUGUGGAGUUGUACUUCGGAAACAAACCCGGGCCGGUCAACGAACCCGGUUCAAGGCGUUUGUGGUGGUGGAUGAUGGUAACAGGCACGUGGGUUUAGGAGGUUGCGAUUGCUAUUAGGGGUGCGAUUAUUCUAGCGUGUAUUCCGGUAAACUAUGACGAGUCUCCGGCGAAGAUCCGUGUAAAGAAUUUUGACAGUUGAUAUCUAUUGAAACCAACAGUUCAAAGAGGCAAGGUAUGAAGAUUUGACUCAAGUUAUUGGUUUUUGAGCUGAGUGGGGGUUGCUACAAUUUAGUAAGCAAAUCAAAACACGUGACAAGGCCCACUUCUUUUUAUCUUCAAGACUUCAAUUAUGUACAGGUGCUGUCUUGAGAUGAUUGUUGAUGCAUGCUACAUUUAGGAUGGACUCGUGCCUUAGCAACUUUAAAACUUGGAAGAUCAUAGUUGUACUUAUGUGAUUGUAAUAGAACAACGAGUUCAUUUAAUCAAUAAAACAAUA